rnacentral:rRNA from 1 species
CUGCAUGGCUGUCGUCAGCUCGUGUCGUGAGAUGUUGGGUUAAGUCCCGCAACGAGCGCAACCCUCGCCUUUAGUUACCAUCAUUUAGUUGGGUACUCUAAAGGAACCGCCGGUGAUAAGCCGGAGGAAGGUGGGGAUGACGUCAAGUCCUCAUGGCCCUUACGCGCUGGGCUACACACGUGCUACAAUGGCAGGUACAGUGGGCAGCAAUCCCGCGAGGGUGAGCUAAUCUCCAAAACCUGUCUCAGUUCGGAUUGUUCUCUGCAACUCGAGAGCAUGAAGGCGGAAUCGCUAGUAAUCGCGGAUCAGCAUGCCGCGGUGAAUACGUU